GGCUGGCCAAGAAGUUCAUUUGGGUUUUCUCAUAGCAUCUUAAGAAAAACUCAAAUGAACUUUUUGGCCAGCCCAAU
rnacentral:miRNA from 1 species